rnacentral:lncRNA from 1 species
UUUGAAAUUUAUGAGAAUUAAUAAAUUGCUUUUUCAUGGAAAAAAAUUCCGUAAAUUUUAGAAAUCUAAGAGACAUCGCUAAUUUUAAUGGACAUCGUAUUUAUCCUUCUAUACAGGACAAUGUACUCGAUUUUUGCAUUGCAACUUCAACGUCCCCAAUUAUUACAAAACGCCAAGCUGUCAAUAUAACCUUAAGCAUGAUAGCGAAACGUCGUAAAAUUAAACGGUGAUGAUGGGGUGAACGUGGCCACUAGGUUUCCUCAAAG